GGUGUGUGCUACGAUCGAACAGGAGAAAGGAAAAAGGGGGGUGUGAACCUAAACCUCAAGAAAUCAUCAAAUUGAAAAGGGAAUCAAGGGCUGAUUGUAUGCAUGAACCAAGGAUGAUGAUCCCUUAAGCAUUUCUAACAUCAAGAGCCAUGUCAACAUGGACACGAGCAUGGAAGGGCAAUGGGUCAGCGGUAAAUACGGAAGCUAUGCAUGAACUCGGACGCACGAGGUAGCGUUAGUUAAUUGAGCAUGGUGAUGAUUGAAGUUUGAUAUGGUUUUGGUUGUAUGAAAUCGGUUAUUUUAGCUAAGUAGACCGAACGGGACAAUAUAAAGUUGUAAUGAUAUGACAGAUUGAUGUAAUGCUACGGUAUUGUAACCGGGUAAUGGGUAGAAUUGCACAUAAGUGCGCCAACCGAGAAUGGGGACUUAGGUUAAUGGUCAAAAGACUUAGCUUUUGACCUUAAAUAAAAGAAUGGUUUUUAACAAAAUACGAACAGGUCGAAUAAAUGUGCAUAAACUUCAUAAUGCUAAUGAAAUGCGUAAAGAUUAAGGACCCGGGUAAGGGCGUUUAGCCCAUAAUGUAAGGACAAGUCUUACGGACAACUAGAAAUAAUUGUGAGCAAUUUGAUUGAGGAAUGUCCGAGAUACGCAAGUUUUAAUAAUAAAAAUAUGAAUGGGUUGAAUAGUCGAAACGAGUAUGUAGAGCCGAAGGCUUUAAGUUAAGAUUUUUCCUUGUUUGGAUGUUAUAUUACAAGCUCAUAUGUUAGAAAAUCGAUUUACCAACGCAUAGGAAAAAGAAUCAUGUUAAUCGGAUUCGUAGAUCAAAAGUUAUGCAAAUUGUAAGUCGAAAAUACCCUUGGAAUUCAUAGCUGGGAAUUUACAGCAGCAAAUUGGAAGUUUCUGUCGAAAUAGAGCUGUCGCGCCCCGCGAGCGCCAGUCAGCUGGCAAAUUUUGGUUUUCUUGUUUGAUUUUGCAUCCGGACUCGAUGUUUUAAUGAUUUUCGAUGUCCCUUAACUUAUAUUAAAGCCGGUUUGAAACGCGAGUGAUGUUAUGAGCCUCCGGAUAAUGAAAGUAUGUAUUUUUCUUCGUGUUAGAGAAGAAAGAUUAUAAGUAAUCGAGACUAGAAAUGAGUGGGCAUGCAGUAUGGUAAGUAUAAAACUUAUAUCACGGAAGUUGCGAUUAUGAUAAGAAAUGCGAGAUUAAGUGAAUAAAAGUAGUAAGCGAGGGCUCGCGUCUAUGUGUGUGUAUGUGAAUGUGUGCAUAUGUAUGUAGGUGUAUAUGUUGUAUGUAUGUAGGAAUUAGGAACGUAUACGUUUGGGGAUGCGAGAUGUUAUAAGUAUAUGAAGGAAUGGUUUGGACUGGUUUUAUUAUGUUCUAGCAUUAAUGUUUGCUAAUCGUGUGUUUGAGAUUGGAAUGAAAUGCAGGUACAUGAACACCGGGUUCAUGAAGUAUCGAAGUCGAAUUCGGAACAAGAAAAUACGAAAGGAUAGUUGAAUGAAUUAAAGUUCCUACUGUUAAAUGUUAUUCAAUAUUGGACUAUAUGAGAAUCAUGUCGUAUGAUAUUGUUAAUGACUAAUGGUUAUGAUGUAUGCGAUGUCCACAGGUAUUGCACGGAUUACCGCUACUACUACCGAAGAUAAGCAAGCGUUGAUCGAGUCACGGAGCAAGGGUUGUACGGAAAUAUGUAUUGUCUUGAAGCGUUAAUUUAAUGUGGUUAUUGUAAAUCCCUUUUGUAAAUGUUUAUCAUUUGUAUUUGAGCCUUCAAGUAAGUAAUGUGUCUAAAUAAGAAAGAAAUUUUUGGGCUC
rnacentral:lncRNA from 1 species